rnacentral:tRNA from 1 species
AGACUUUCCCUGAGUAGUACAGAGCCAGGCUUGGAGCCUGGAAGCCAUGGGAUCAAAUCCCAUUGGCUCUG